rnacentral:rRNA from 1 species
UACGAAGGGGGCUAGCGUUGCUCGGAAUCACUGGGCGUAAAGGGUGCGUAGGCGGGUCUUUAAGUCAGGGGUGAAAUCCUAGAGCUCAACUCCAGAACUGCCUUUGAUACUGAGGAUCUUGAGUUCGGGAGAGGUGAGUGGAACUGCGAGUGUAGAGGUGAAAUUCGUAGAUAUUCGCAAGAACACCAGUGGCGAAGGCGGCUCACUGGCCCGAUACUGACGCUGAGGCACGAAAGCGUGGGGAGCAAACAGG